UGGUGGAGUGAUUUGUCUGGUUAAUUCCGAUAACGAACGAGACCUUAACCUGCUAACUAGUGCGCAUUACGCGAGUAGUGUGUGACUUCUUAGAGGGACUGACUAUGUUUAAUAGUCGGAAGUUUGAGGCAAUAGCA
rnacentral:rRNA from 1 species